AGCUACAGCCAUGCCACCCUGAACGUGCCCAGUCUCGUCUAAUCUUGGAAGCUAAGCAGGGUCGGGCCUGAUUAGCAGUUGAAUGGGAGACUACUUGGGAAUACCAGGUGCUAUAGGCA
rnacentral:rRNA from 1 species